rnacentral:rRNA from 1 species
UAAGCCGUUGAAGGUGAAUCGUAAGGUUUGCUGGAGGUAUCAGAAGUGCGAAUGCUGACAUGAGUAACGACAAAGGGGGUGAAAAACCUCCUCGCCGGAAGACCAAGGGUUCCUGUCCAACGUUAAUCGGGGCAGGGUGAGUCGACCCCUAAGGUGAGGCCGAAAGGCGUAAUCGAUGGGAAACGGGUUAAUAUUCCCGUACUUCUGACUAUUGCGAUGGGGGGACGGAGAAGGCUAGGUGGGCCAGGCGACGGUUGUCCUGGUUCAAGUGCGUAGGCUUGAGAGUUAGGUAAAUCCGGCUCUCUCUAAGGCUGAGACACGACGUCGAGCUACUACGGUAGUGAAGUCAUUGAUGCCAUGCUUCCAGGAAAAGCCUCUAAGCUUCAGAUAGUCAGGAAUCGUACCCCAAACCGACACAGGUGGUCGGGUAGAGAAUACCAAGGCGCUUGAGAGAACUCGGGUGAAGGAACUAGGCAAAAUGGUACCGUAACUUCGGGAGAAGGUACGCUCUUGAUGGUGAAGUCCCUCGCGGAUGGAGCUGACGAGAGUCGCAGAUACCAGGUGGCUGCAACUGUUUAUUAAAAACACAGCACUGUGCAAAAUCGCAAGAUGACGUAUACGGUGUGACGCCUGCCCGGUGCCGGAAGGUUAAUUGAUGGGGUUAGCGCAAGCGAAGCUCUUGAUCGAAGCCCCGGUAAACGGCGGCCGUAACUAUAACGGUCCUAAGGUAGCGAAAUUCCUUGUCGGGUAAGUUCCGACCUGCACGAAUGGCGUAAUGAUGGCCACGCUGUCUCCACCCGAGACUCAGUGAAAUUGAAAUCGCUGUGAAGAUGCAGUGUACCCGCGGCUAGACGGAAAGACCCCGUGAACCUUUACUACAGCUUGGCACUGAACAUUGAACCUACAUGUGUAGGAUAGGUGGGAGGCUAUGAAGACGUGACGCCAGUUGCGUUGGAGCCGUCCUUGAAAUACCACCCUUGUAUGUUUGAUGUUCUAACUUAGACCCAUUAUCUGGGUUGAGGACAGUGCCUGGUGGGUAGUUUGACUGGGGCGGUCUCCUCCCAAAGAGUAACGGAGGAGCACGAAGGUGGGCUAAUCACGGUUGGACAUCGUGAGGUUAGUGCAAUGGCAUAAGCCCGCUUAACUGCGAGAAUGACGGUUCGAGCAGGUGCGAAAGCAGGUCAUAGUGAUCCGGUGGUUCUGUAUGGAAGGGCCAUCGCUCAACGGAUAAAAGGUACUCCGGGGAUAACAGGCUGAUACCGCCCAAGAGUUCAUAUCGACGGCGGUGUUUGGCACCUCGAUGUCGGCUCAUCACAUCCUGGGGCUGAAGUCGGUCCCAAGGGUAUGGCUGUUCGCCAUUUAAAGUGGUACGCGAGCUGGGUUUAGAACGUCGUGAGACAGUUCGGUCCCUAUCUGCCGUGGGCGUUGGAAGAUUGAAGGGGGCUGCUCCUAGUACGAGAGGACCGGAGUGGACGAACCUCUGGUGUUCGGGUUGUGUCGCCAGACGCAUUGCCCGGUAGCUAAGUUCGGAAUUGAUAAGCGCUGAAAGCAUCUAAGCGCGAAGCGAGCCCUGAGAUGAGUCUUCCCUGACAGUUUAACUGUCCUAAAGGGUUGUUCGAGACUAGAACGUUGAUAGGCAGGGUGUGUAAGCGUUGUGAGGCGUUGAGCUAACCUGUACUAAUUGCCCGUGAGGCUUAACCAU